rnacentral:rRNA from 1 species
CGGUAAGGUGAUAUGAACCGCUAUACCCGACGAUACCCGAAUGGGGAAACCCAGUGCAAUUCGUUGCACUAUCAUUAACUGAAUCCAUAGGUUAAUGAGGCGAACCGGGGGAACUGAAACAUCUCAGUACCCCGAGGAAAAGAAAUCAACCGAGAUUCCCCCAGUAGCGGCGAGCGAACGGGGAAGAGCCCAGAACCUGAAUCAUCGGUUGCGUUAAUGGAAGCGUCUGGAAAGUCGCGCGAAACAGGGUGAUAGCCCCGUACAUGAAAACGCAGCCGGUGUGAGUUCGAUGAGUAGGGCGGGACACGUGUUAUCCUGUCUGAAGAUGGGGGGACCAUCCUCCAAGGCUAAAUACUCCUGGCUGACCGAUAGUGAACCAGUACCGUGAGGGAAAGGCGAAAAGAACCCCGGCGAGGGGAGUGAAAGAGAACCUGAAACCGUGUACGUACAAGCAGUGGGAGCCUUGAUUUAUCAGGGUGACUGCGUACCUUUUGUAUAAUGGGUCAGCGACUUAUAUUUUGUAGCAAGGUUAACCGAAUAGGGGAGCCGCAGGGAAACCGAGUCUUAACUGGGCGUCAUAGUUGCA